rnacentral:rRNA from 1 species
GUCAACGCUGUAAACGAUGAGAGCUAGUUGUCGGCACGCAUGCGUGUCGGUGACGCAGCUAACGCAUUAAGCUCUCCGCCUGGGGAGUACGGCCGCAAGGUUAAAACUCAAAGAAAUUGACGGGGGCCCCGCACAAGCGGUGGAGCAUGUGGUUUAAUUCGAAGCAACGCGAAGAACCUUACCCACGUUUGACAUGUCCAGUUUGGGCUGCAGAGAUGCGGUCCUUCACCUCGGGUGGCUGGAACACAGGUGCUGCAUGGCUGUCGU